rnacentral:rRNA from 1 species
GACGAACGCUGGCGGCGUGCUUAACACAUGCAAGUCGAACGAAGAGCGAUGGAAGCUUGCUUCUAUCAAUCUUAGUGGCGAACGGGUGAGUAACGCGUAAUCAACCUGCCCUUCAGAGGGGGACAACAGUUGGAAACGACUGCUAAUACCGCAUACGAUCUAAUCUCGGCAUCGAGGAUAGAUGAAAGGUGGCCUCUACAUGUAAGCUAUCACUGAAGGAGGGGAUUGCGUCUGAUUAGCUAGUUGGAGGGGUAACGGCCCACCAAGGCGAUGAUCAGUAGCCGGUCUGAGAGGAUGAACGGCCACAUUGGGACUGAGACACGGCCCAGACUCCUACGGGAGGCAGCAGUGGGGAAUCUUCCGCAAUGGACGAAAGUCUGACGGAGCAACGCCGCGUGAGUGAUGACGGCCUUCGGGUUGUAAAGCUCUGUUAAUCGGGACGAAAGGCCUUCUUGCGAAUA